AGGAUGAACGCUGGCGGCGUGCUUAACACAUGCAAGUCGAACGAUGAAGCGGAGCUUGCUCUGUGGAUUAGUGGCGAACGGGUGAGUAACACGUGAGUAACCUGCCCUUGACUCUGGGAUAAGCACUGGAAACGGUGUCUAAUACCGGAUACGAGCUUCAGCCGCAUGGCUAGGAGUUGGAAAGAAUUUCGGUCAAGGAUGGACUCGCGGCCUAUCAGGUAGUUGGUGAGGUAAUGGCCCACCAAGCCUACGACGGGUAGCCGGCCUGAGAGGGUGACCGGCCACACUGGGACUGAGACACGGCCCAGACUCCUACGGGAGGCAGCAGUGGGGAAUAUUGCACAAUGGGCGCAAGCCUGAUGCAGCAACGCCGCGUGAGGGACGACGGCCUUCGGGUUGUAAACCUCUUUUAGUAGGGAAGAAGCGAAAGUGACGGUACCUGCAGAAAAGCACCGGCUAACUACGCGCCAGCAGCCGCGGU
rnacentral:rRNA from 1 species